ACUGCUCAGUAACACGUGGACAAUCUACCAUGGGGAAAGGGACAACCUCGGGAAACUGAGGACAAAACCUUAUAGGCGGCAAGCACUGGAAUGUCUGCCACCGAAACAAGAAGGCCUGUAUUCGGCCAAUUGCCCCAUGAUGAGUCUGCGCCGGAUUAGCCUGACGGUAGGGUAACGGCCUACCGUAGCUACGAUCCGUACCGGCAUUGGGAGAUGGAGCCGGGAGAUGGACACUGAGACAAAGGUCCAGGUUCUACGGAGCGCAGCAGUCGCGAAACCUUCGCAAUGCGCGCAAGCGUGACGAGGGAACCCCAAGUGUACACGUACAACGUGUACUUUUAUGGAGUAUAGAUAGCUCCAGGAAUAAGGGCUGGGUAAGACUGGUGCCAGCCUCCGCGGUAACACCAGCAGCUCAAGUGGUGAUCACGUUUACUGGGUUUAAAGCGUGCGUAGUCGGUUCGGCAAGUUUUCUGUGAAAUCCUGCGGCUUAACCGCGGGGAUUGCAGAAAAUACUACCGUGCUAGAGGCCGGGGUAGGUGUGGGGUAUUCUAGGGGGUAGCGGUGUAAUGCUAUAAUCCCUGGAGGACCACCAGUAGCGAAGGCGCCACACUAGAACGGGCCUGACGAUGAGGUACGAGAGCUAGGGGAGCAAACAGGAUUAGAUACCCUGGUAGUCCUAGCCGUAAACGAUGUGGGGUUUAGUGUCCCCUGAACCUCGUGUUCGGGGGGUGCUGAAGGGAAACCGUUAAACCCACCACCUGGGGAGUACGGUCGCAAGGCUGAAACUUAAAGGAAUUGGCGGGGGAGCAC
rnacentral:rRNA from 1 species